AUGAAGAGAAAAAAACGAAAAAUAGAAUACCCGCUUCUCCUGCCUUCAGCCACUGUGCGUCUGUGCCCCACCUGGAUCCCUCCACCGCCGUCACACGGACACGCCUGCACCACCCAUCCGAAUCCCGCAUCUCUUCCUUCUCUUUCAGCGUGCCACCGCCCGACGUCGUCACUGCGCAAGAAGCAUCUCGCCGUCCUGUUGCUUUCUGCGACUGCGCGAGCGAUGGCCGUCGCCCAGGCCGCAGCGGUCGUCACGCCGGUGGUGGCCGGGGCGGCGCCAUCCAUCUCUCCGCGGCCGUCGUCCCGGGGACCGGCCGGAGCCGGAGGCGGGCUGGGGUGGCGCCGCCGGCCGAGGGGGAGCGCCCGCCGCGGCCUGGUCAUCGCGGACGCGUUCGGCGGACAGUACGAAGACGGGUUCGGGGACGUGGAAUUGGAAAUCAUGAAUUACUUCACUUACAAGGCCACACAGACGGUUCUCUAUCAGUUGUAUGAGAUGAAUCCGCCGGCAUACACUUGGCUUUAUAAUUAUCUUGUCGUCAAUGACGCAAAAGAGGGUAUACAUUUCCUGCGAGCACUCUCGAAGGAGAGGCAAGACCUGGCAGAGAGGGUGAUGGUCACGCGCCUUCACUUAUACGGCAGAUGGAUCAAGAAAUGCGACCAUACGAAAAUGUAUGAGAGGAUUUCGCAUGAGAACUUGGAGCUCAUGCGUGAGAGGCUAAUGGAAACAGUGGUGUGGCCAACUGAUGACACGAACUCCAGCGACAAGCAAGAUUGA
rnacentral:rRNA from 1 species